rfam:Lachnospiraceae bacterium 3-2 genomic scaffold acPFJ-supercont1.1, whole genome shotgun sequence.
AUUUUUAUCUGGUAACUGCCGAAGACAGUAGGUGCUGCAAAGCGUAAGGGUUAAAACGCCUACCGAGGAAGAGUUAAAUUCAGAUAUGGAUUUAUACCUCUGCGUCUUUUUGGCGCAGAGGUUUUUGGCAGCAUAC